rnacentral:rRNA from 1 species
AAUAAAUACUGAUACAGGGCUCUUUUGGGUCUUGUAAUUGGAAUGAGUACAAUUUAAAUCCCUUAACGAGGAACAAUUGGAGGGCAAGUCUGGUGCCAGCAGCCGCGGUAAUUCCAGCUCCAAUAGCGUAUAUUAAAGUUGUUGCAGUUAAAAAGCUCGUAGUUGAACUUCAGACCUGGUCGAGUGGUCCGCCUAACGGUGUGUACUGCUUGACUGGGCCUUACCUCUUGGUGAGCCGGCGUGCCCUUUAUUGGUGUGCGUCGGGGAACCAGGGACUUUUACCUUGAGAAAAUUAGAGUGUCCAAAGCAGGCCUAUGCCCGGAAAUACAUUAGCAUGGAAUAAUAGA